rnacentral:rRNA from 1 species
UUAGCAGUGAGGAAUAUUGGUCAAUAGCCUAACGGCUGAACCAGCAACUUGGAAGAAUGUAUAGCAAUAGCUGAUUGCACAACAAACAGUUGAUGCAAGAUUGACUUUGUCAAAUAAAAUUCUAGGUAGAUUUAUGAUAAUGACAUCGUCUGCCUAUAUGUCUUGACCAAAUUACGUGCCAGCAGUCGCGGUAAUACGUAGAAGACUAGUGUUAUUCAUGUUUAAUUGGUUUAAAGGGUACCUAGACGGUAAAUCAAGCCUUAACAGGAACUGAUUUCCUAGAGUUACUUAUGAGGGGGUUUUAAAGUACUGCUGGUGUAGAGAUGAAAUUCUGUGAUACCUAAAACCGGAACUAUAUGGCACAGGUAUAGGUGAAAACAUCCCCUUAAGAGAUAACUGACGUUGAGGGACGAAGCCUUUGUGUAGCGAACAGGAUUAGAUACCCUAGUAGUCAAAGGAGAAAAUGAUGAAUGUCAUAGAUUAGAGUAAUACUUUAUUCUAUAAACGAAAGUGUAAGCAUUCCACCUCAAGAGUAAUUUGGCAACAUUGGAACUGAAAUCAUUAGACCGUUUCUGAAACCAGUAGUGAAGUAUGUUGUUUAAUUUGAUAAUACGCAAAAAACCUUACCACAAUUUGAAUAUUCAUAUUUAUUUUNUCUUGAAUUUUUACUUAUACUAUUAUGUAAAUUAUUAUGUAGAUUAUAUUGAUUAUCUAUAUAAUUUUGUAUAUUUUGUAUAAUAGAGAAAAGGUAGUAUAAUUACAAGCGUUGCACGGCUGUCUUCAGUUAAUGUCGUGAGAUUUUGGUUAGUUCCAUUAAAUUAACGUAACCCUUACUCUAUUUUAACAUAAAGUAGUUCCUCCCGCUAUAAUUGGAUAUGAUCCAAAGGG